rnacentral:rRNA from 1 species
UACGAAGGGUGCUAGCGUUGUUCGGAAUUACUGGGCGUAAAGCGCGCGUAGGCGGCUUCUCAAGUCAGGGGUGAAAUCCUGGGGCUUGACCCCAGAAUUGCCUUUGAAACUGUGAAGCUAGAGUGUCGGAGGGGAUAGCGGAAUUGCUAAUGUAGAGGUGAAAUUCGUAGAUAUUAGCAGGAACACCGGUGGCGAAGGCGGCUAUCUGGACGACAACUGACGCUGAGGCGCGAAAGCGUGGGGAUCAAACAGG